AGAGUUUGAUCAUCGCUCAGAUUGAACGCUGGCGGCAUGCUUAAUACAUGCAAGUCGAACGGUAACAGGUUUCGGAAUGCUGACUAGUGGCGAGUGGCGGACGGGGGAGUAAUGCAUAGGAAUCCGCCCAUGUAGUGGGGGAUAACUUGGGGAAACUCAAGCUAAUACCGCAUAAUUCCUACGGGAGAAAGCUUACAAGUAUAGGCCCUCUUUCUAUUGGAUGAGCCUAUGUCGGAUUAGUUAGUUGGUGAGGUAAUGGCUUACCAAGACUACAAUCCGUAGCUGGUUUGAGAGGAUGAUCAGCCACACUGGGACUGAGACACGGCCCAGACUCCUACGGGAGGCAGCAGUAGGGAGUAUUGGACAAUGGGCGCAAGCCUGAUCCAGCAAUGCCGCGUGUGUGAAGAAGGCCUGCGGGUUGUAAAGCACUUUCAAUUGGGAAGAAAGAUUUAGAGUUAAUACCUCUUAAUAUUGACGUUACCAAUAGAAGAAGCACCGGCUAACUCUGUGCCAGCAGCCGCGGUAAUACAGAGGGUGCGAGCGUUAAUCGGAAUUACUGGGCGUAAAGAGUACGUAGGUGGUUAAAUCAGUCGGAUGUGAAAGCCCCAGGCUUAACUUGGGAAUUGCAUUCGAUACUGUUUGACUAGAGUACAGUAGAGAGAAGCGGAAUUCCUAGUGUAGCGGUGAAAUGCGUAGAUAUUAGGAAGAACACCAGUGGCGAAGGCGUUUAUUGAUACUGACACUGAGGUAAAAGCGUGGGGAGCAAACAGGAUUAGAUACCCUGGUAGUCCACGCCCUAAACGAUGAGAACUAGAUGUUGGAGGAAUUUAUAAUCCUUUAGUAUCGUAGCUAACGCGAUAAGUUCUCCGCCUGGGGAGUACGGCCGCAAGGUUAAAACUCAAAUGAAUUGACGGGGGCCCGCACAAGCGGUGGAGCAUGUGGUUUAAUUCGAUGCAACGCGAAGAACCUUACCAGGUCUUGACAUCCAGAGAACUUACUAGAGAUAGUUUGGUGCCUUCGGGAACUCUGUGACAGGUGCUGCAUGGCUGUCGUCAGCUCGUGUUGUGAAAUGUUGGGUUAAGUCCCGUAACGAGCGCAACCCUUAUCCUUAUUUGCCAGCACGUAAUGGUGGGAACUCUAAGGAGACUGCCGGUGAUAAACCGGAGGAAGGUGGGGACGACGUCAAGUCAUCAUGGCCCUUACGGCCUGGGCUACACACGUGCUACAAUGGUGGAUACAGAGGGCUGCGAAACGGCGACGUUUAGCUAAUCUCAGAAAGUCCAUCUUAGUCCGGAUCGCAGUCUGCAACUCGACUGCGUGAAGUUGGAAUCGCUAGUAAUCGCGAAUCAGAAUGUCGCGGUGAAUACGUUCCCGGGCCUUGUACACACCGCCCCGUCACACCAUGGGAGUGGGCUGCACCAGAAGUGGUUAGUUUAACCUUCGGGAGAACGAUCACCACGGUGUGGUUCAUGACUGGGGUGAAGUCGUAACAAGGUAGCCGUAGGGGAACCUGCGGCUGGAUCACCUCCUU
rnacentral:rRNA from 1 species